UGCUUUGUGAUUUGCAUGGGACCAUUGUUAAUCUUUGUUCAUGUGUGGCAGAUAUUAUGUUUAUGGCAUACUAAAUUCAGCCAAUUUUCCAAAUAUAAGGAAAAAUAUCUCACCACAUGGACACCGAUCAGAAAACAUUUACUUUGGGAGCAAUGGGACAUCAUAAAGACAAAUUCUACACAAUGGUCUUGGUCUGUGUCCCUGACCUGUGGAAGGCAGAAGUCAUUCCAAAGCUUAUCAGCUCUCCAAAGUUCCAAGAUCAAGAAAAAAACAUCGAGGUCUGGGUCAUAAAAUCUAAAUGCAAGAAACUUCCCAGAAGCCAAUGGGAAAGUUUCCUGUCAGGUUUCAAGAUGGAUAUUGAUAUUUUGAAAGCUCAAUUCCUUAACUAAAGCAUUUUACCAAGAAGACACUACCAACAUAGAUCUCUACCAACUUGAAUAAGAGGCCAAACAAUGCUUAUUUGGAAUUAUAAGAGGACGAUUAAUAACAGCCUUAAGAAGACUUUUAGGGCGAAUGUUCCAAUUUGAAAAUUGGAUGAAAAACUGAAGAUGUGUGACAAAAAAGUGUGACCCAUUGCAUUCUAAAGUACAGAUUCUAGAUAUUCCAUCUUCUUUAGUGGGUGGGACAUCUUGCAGAAAUUUUAAAAAUAAUAAAUCCAUAAAAAAUUUAAAUUUUCAGAGAAUUUACAAUCUUGCACCUACAAUGUCUGAGUAAUUCAUAGUAACAGCAAAAAAGGAUAGCAAAAGCCAAAUCUCCUAUUCCAGUCCUUUAUCACCUAUGUGGCUCUAAUCUUCCAACUGCAGGGACUAUAUUAGUAGUUACUUUGAUUUUCUAAGGAGUAUCCUUCUCCCUCUAGUCAACCAGAUCAGGACUGGCCUCUGUGAGUGCCCAAAGCAGAAUAAAGCAGGCUAGAGACAGGAAAGUUAGGGAUCAAACAGAAAUUUUAUCAAUUCCAAAGGGAGGGAAAUGCUUGCAAGUGGAAGUCUUCCUAAGGAGGAGGACUUCAACAUUCUGGGGCAAAGCCAGGAUUUAUCCACAUGAAACAUCCCAAGUGGGCUGGACCAUGACAUAAUUAUUCUGAGGUCUUGAGUAAGCAGUUCUCUUGGUAGGUUCAUUUGCAAACAAUGCAGAUUCUCUUGGAUCCUGUGGGGAAGGUUUCUAAGAUGAUUGUCUCACAGCAGAGUACAGAAUCAAUGAGGCAGUACCUGGUUUGGUUUAUUUAGCAAUUACAAGUAACAGGGAUUGUGAGAAUGUCAAGAAAUGUGAUGGACCACCUUCUCCUGGCUCUCAAGUCUCUGGGAAAUAGGAGGCACCCCCUCAAGAAACACCUGAUGCUGUAGAAACAAUAUAUUUUGCUAAAGGGUAAGAUGAUCCAGAGCAUAAAAGAUUGUUGUUAUGUCCAGCUCAGAGCCUUCACUCUAGGAAACAGGAUGUCUACAAAAUAUUCUGACACUCUCAACCUGGGAACUCUAGAACUUGGAAUUAUCCAGAAAGUACUACUUAUUCUUCCCUAUCUCCUUCCCACACUUCUCCAGACAGAAAGACUCCACUCUCAGGAAUUCUAGACUCUGAUUUGGGAUCAAAACAGAAAUUGAAAGACAAAAGAGAGUGGCCAAGAGCUACUUCCUUUCAGGCUCACUUAUACUAAUCUUAUAAACUGCCAUUGUUGCCAUUCUGAUGAGAAAGAGACCUAGGAUCUACCUCCAUAACCUUGCUGAACUCUGAUCUGGAAGUAAAGGAGAAAUAAAGAGGGUGUCUUGGUUCAUUUCUAUAUAUUGCAAGGGGAGGAGCAAGAAGCCCAGUAAGACCCUGUUAUCUUCCUCCUGUCAAAGGCAGCCCUCCAGGGUCUGGAGACUAAUUAGAAGGUUUCUAGUGGAUUUGCUUGAUCAUCCUCCCUUAGUAACUAAAGCCCACGUAAAGUCUUACAAACCCUUCUAUCACAGGCCUUCACCACUGAAAAGACAUCAUUUCUAUUAAGUUAACAUAAUUUCCUAUAAAUUAAUAAAUUUACCAGUAAUUAUAUGUGUACCUAUAUAAAUCACAUCUGAGGGGUAACUGGAAUAUUGAAUAGAGGGCCGGCCUUAAGGAGGCUUGAGUUGAAGUCUUAUCUCUGACAGGUAGGUGACAGAUUUAAUCACUUAAUCUUACAAUUAAGAAUACUUGCUGUUCUGCCUUGGUAGAAAGUUGUUCCCUGAAACUUCAGAAUUAGGGGGAAAAGAUUUUUCACAUUUACUACUAUCUUUUCACUUCAGGCUAUUCCACAUU
ensembl:lncRNA